UACGGAGGGUGCGAGCGUUGUCCGGAAUCACUGGGCGUAAAGGGCGCGUAGGUGGCGUCGCAAGUCAACGGUGAAAGCUCGACGCUCAACGUCGAGUCGGCCGUCGAGACUGCGAGGCUUGAGCACUGUAGAGGCAGAUGGAAUUUCCGGGUGUAGCGGUGGAAUGCGUAGGAGAUCCGGAAAGAACACCGGUGGCGAAGGCGGUCUGCUGGGCAGUUGCUGACACUGAGGCGCGACAGCG
rnacentral:rRNA from 1 species